CAUUGUCAGCCAUAAAUUCCCAUCUCUAGCUACAUUUAACACUCUUUUUCUGAGGUGUGAAACAAGCAUUAAAGGAUCCCCACUCUCUUUCCUCCCAGGAGUGGUUCUGAAUUUAGGAGGAGAAUCAACAUCAGCCAAACUGUACCAGAAGAGCCUAGUGAAGAACUGGGUGGUGAGGAGGUCAAUGAAGAGUGUGAGGACCUGGACACUGAUACUUUCCUGUCAAAAGGAUCUAAAAUGGAGCUUUGCAGAGCCUGGUUCUCAAUGCCCACCUACUACUGGGUUUUGUUGUGGCUGUUUUUCCUGGGAAUUGCUUGCCUCGUUUUGAUCCGGAUCCUGGAGUUGCAGAAACAAUACCCAUUUACAACCUCGGACUCUUAGGCACAGGAGAAGCAGAUGAACUAUGCCAGAACCACAAGAUAGUUUACAUAUGAACAAUAAGAAUAAGUAAAAAGAUGUUCUCAAGCAUGUGUGAAACCAAAACAAUAUUGGCUAGGAUGUGAUGCUGAUGGUUGAUUGUUAUGAAAAGAGCUGGAGAAUCCUGUAGAUAGCUCAACACAUCCUCUGAAUCCAAGAAGGUAUCAACUGCCAUUUUAUUGAUGGUUUCAGUGUAAGUCCAGUUAGCACAUUUGCUGAGAGAUGUCUAAUUGGGAUAACGCUUGCAGUUCUGCAGAAUAGUAACACCAAGAUAUUUCCAGUGCAUCGGAAGGUUAGUUAUUUGUGCGGACUGUAGCUCCUAGAGUCCCCAAACACAUAAAUCCAUGGAGGAUUCUGGCGGUUGUGUUCUAAAAAAAUAACUUCCAAGUGCUGGCUAUUUUUCCAAUCUUUUGAAGUUAAAUACAGUGGGUUCUUGGUCUCUGCUGAGGCUUUGUUCUAGAACCCCUCAUGGAUACCAGAAUCCAUGGAUGCUCCAGCCGCAUUAUAUGCAAUGGCAUAGUAAAAUGAUGUCCUUUAUAUAAAAUGGCAAAAUCAAAAUUUGCUUUUUGGAAUCCGUAAAAAUAUUUUGAAGCCAUGGAUGGUGGAAUCCAUGGAUAUGGAAUCCAUAAAUACAGAGGGCUGACUAUUCUUCCACGUCUCUCUAAAAGAGCAGCAAUUCCAUUUCCAUAUGGGUGAAUUUAGCACAUUCAAGGCUUUCUCUGCAGUGCAGUCUUAGGCUUCUCUACUUGGAGUUCUUUUCUAUCUGGCCGCGCAUUUCAACUACUGCUCAAUUUGCAAGCAAAUCCCAUCUUUGUAAGGUUAUUAGUGGUUACAAUGUCCUUUGUCAAAAAGGCUGUUCUCAGGUUUUACCAGUGUUAACGUUAUUUGUAUUGCAACGGCAUGGUUGAAAUAUAUGAUUGCACACA